rnacentral:rRNA from 1 species
GCAGGUGCUUAUGGCGCACAGUCUAGGAAAAGGGCAUUCAUCUGGGCUGCUGCACCUGGUGAGACUCUUCCUGAUUGGCUUGAACCGAUGCACGUCUUAGCUAGCCCUGAGCUGAAAAUCACUCUACCAGAAGGCAAGUACUAUGCAGCUGCCAAGAGCACAGCCUGAGGGGCUCCUUUCUGCUCUACAACAGUCGGGGAUACAAUUGGUGAUCUACCACAGGUGGAGAAUGGUGCCAGCAAAACAACAAUACAGUACGGAGGCGAACCUGUCUCUUGGUUCCUGAAGAAGAUCCGAGGCGACGCGCUUUCGCUGGGUGACCACAUAUCUAAAGAGAUGAACGAACUGAAUCUCAUAAUGUGCAAGCACAUACCAAAGCACCCUGGCUGUGACUGGCAUGAGCUCCCAGACCAGAAGGUGAAGCUAUCCACAUGGCAAUCGAUGAAGUUGACAUUGGACUUGCCCAACACGACCAAGAGACAUAAUCAGUGGAAAGGCAUGUACGGCAGGUUGGACUGGGAGGCCUACAUCUGUAACAGUCUAACAGAUCCCUAGCCAAUGGGCAAGGUCGGCAUGUGCUUCCACCCUGAUUAAGACAGGAUCAUCACCAUUCGUGAACGUGCCCAAUCCCAGGGCUUCCCUGAUGGCUACCAUUUUGUCGGCAACAUCCAGAGGAAGCACAGGCAGAUUAGGAACGCCAUACCACCCCCCCUCCCCUACGCACGAGGGAUACAGCACAAGCAAGCUAUCAACGCCAAUCAGAUGUGA